rnacentral:rRNA from 1 species
ACACACGUGCUACAAUGGGCGGUACAAAGGGUUGCGAACCCGCGAGGGGGAGCCAAUCCCAAAAAGCCGCUCUCAGUUCGGAUUGCAGGCUGCAACUCGCCUGCAUGAAGCCGGAAUCGCUAGUAAUCGCGGAUCAGCAUGCCGCGGUGAAUACGUUCCCGGGCCUUGUACACACCGCCCGUCACACCACGAGAGUUUGCAACACCCGAAGUCGGUGGGGUAACCCUUACGGGAGCCAGCCGCCGAAGGUGGGGCAGAUGAUUGGGGUGAAGUCGUAACAAGGUAGCCGUAUCGGAAGGUGCGGCUGGAUCACCUCCUUUCUAAGGA